rnacentral:tRNA from 1 species
GGAACAUUAGCACAGCGGUCAGUGCCUUCAGCUCAUAACUGAAUUUACAAAAGUUCAAAUCUUUUAUGUUCCACCA